GAGUGAGAAUGAGAGAGAUGAAGAGUUUGAGAUGGGAGGAUGGGAGGGAGGAGUAAUAAAAGUGAAAACAAAAACUUGAAAGUGAAAACAAUUUCAAAUAAAAUUUUGUUUUUAGAUUUUGUUUUCACUUUUGUUACUCCUCCCUCCUAUCAUUCCCUCUCAAUCUCAUCUUCACUCU
rnacentral:snoRNA from 1 species